rnacentral:lncRNA from 1 species
AUGCACUAUAAUGAUGAUCUACAAAACAGGCCUGCCCUCAUCCUGUUCUUCCCCCUGGAGCAGCGAGAAGUAGCGUGUGAGUACAUCCUGAGCAAUGCACAACAAGUACAGAGUACUUCAUUAUGUGCACGAACAGAAAUGCUUAAAUGGAUGAAGCAGCUAUUUACGUCUGAUAGGAGCUAAGUGGGACAUUAAAUUAAUGCCAAACAAGUCACUGGAAGUUCAAAAGAGCAAAGCAAAUUAAAAGAACUCCUUCCCUUUUUCCAUGACAGUAAUUUUUCACUUGAGUAUAUGAGCAUUUGCUAAUAUAAAAGCUAUUGAGGAAGAUAUGAAGGGAACUUCUUCUAAUGCUGCCUUAUAAGGUAGAAAUAAAUGUUGCAUUUCAAAUCCA